rnacentral:rRNA from 1 species
GACGAACGCUGGCGGCGUGCUUAACACAUGCAAGUCGAACGGAAAGGCCCUGCUUUUGUGGGGUGCUCGAGUGGCGAACGGGUGAGUAACACGUGAGUAACCUGCCCUUGACUUUGGGAUAACUUCAGGAAACUGGGGCUAAUACCGGAUAGGAGCUCCUGCUGCAUGGUGGGGGUUGGAAAGUUUCGGCGGUUGGGGAUGGACUCGCGGCUUAUCAGCUUGUUGGUUGGGUAGUGGCUUACCAAGGCUUUGACGGGUAGCCGGCCUGAGAGGGUGACCGGCCACAUUGGGACUGAGAUACGGCCCAGACUCCUACGGGAGGCAGCAGUGGGGAAUAUUGCACAAUGGGCGGAAGCCUGAUGCAGCAACGCCGCGUGCGGGAUGACGGCCUUCGGGUUGUAAACCGCUUUCGCCUGUGACGAAGCGUGAGUGACGGUAAUGGGUAAAGAAGCACCGGCUAACAACGUG